GACAGAGGUGCCGAGCGUUAGGCGGAAUCACUGGGCUUAAAGCGUGUGUAGGCGGACUUCUAAGUACCUUGUGAAAUCCCACGGCUCAACCGUGGAACUGCUUGGUAUACUGGUCGUCUUGAGCCAUCUAGGGGCUGUCGGAACAAAUGGUGGAGCGGUGAAAUGCGUAGAUAUCAUUUGGAACGCCAAAGGUGAAAACAGACAGCUGGGGAUGUGCUGACGCUGAGACACGAAAGCCAGGGGAGCGAAUGGG
rnacentral:rRNA from 1 species